rnacentral:rRNA from 1 species
AGUGAACGCUGGCGGUAGGCCUAACACAUGCAAGUCGAACGGCAGCACAGUAAGAUCUUGCUCUUACGAGUGGCGAGUGGCGGACGGGUGAGGAAUACAUCGGAAUCUACUUUUUCGUGGGGGAUAACGUAGAGAAACUUACGCUAAUACCGCAUACGACCUACGGGUGAAAGCAGGGGAUCUUCGGACCUUGCGCGAUUGAAUGAGCCGAUGUCGGAUUAGCUAGUUGGCGGGGUAAAGGCCCACCAAGGCGACGAUCCGUAGCUGGUCUGAGAGGAUGAUCGGCCACACUGGAACUGAGACACGGUCCAGACUCCUACGGGAGGCAGCAGUGGGGAAUAUUGGACAAUGGGCGCAAGCCUGAUCCAGCCAUACCGCGUGAGUGAAGAAGGCCUUCGGGUUGUAAAGCCCUUUUGUUGGGAAAGAAAAGCAGCAGGUUAAUACCCCGCUGUUCUGACGGUACCCAAAGAAUAAGCACCGGCUAACUUCGUG